ACUUUUAAAGGGUAGAAGUAAUCCAUUGGUUUUAGAAACCAUCAACCCUUGGUGCAAAUCCAAGUAAAAGUU
ensembl:Mt_tRNA